rnacentral:pre_miRNA from 1 species
GGCGNCAAUUUCGAAGUAAAGUAGAAUAGUAGGAUCAGCUGACCUUACUAAUCUACCUUACUCCAAAUUUGGGCCC